rnacentral:rRNA from 1 species
AGUGAACGCUGGCGGCGUGCCUAAUACAUGCAAGUCGAACGGAGUGGCGCACGGGUGAGCAAUGUAUAGCUAAACUGCCCUACACUAGACGACAACAGGUGGAAACGACUGCUAAUACUCCAUAUUGUAGGAUGAGGCUAUACUGUAUCAGCUAGUUAGUGAGGUAAUGGCUCACCAAGGCUAUGACGCAUAACUGGUCUGAGAGGAUGAUCAGUCACACUGGAACUGAGGCACAGUCCAGACUCCUACGGGAGGCAGCAGUAGGGAGUAUUGCUCAAGUGGGGAGACCCUGAAGCAUCAACGCCGCGUGGAAGCUGACACUUUUCGAAGCGUAAACUCCUUUUGUUAGGGAAGCGGUACCUAACGAGUAAGCACCGGCUAACUCCGUGCCAGCCGCCGCGGUAAUUC